GCCUGGGUAGCUCAAUUGGUAGAGCAUCAGACUUUUAAUCUGAGGGUUCAGGGUUCAAGUCCCUGCUCAGGCG
rnacentral:tRNA from 3 species